UACGUGGGGGGCAAGCGUUGUUCGGAAUUACUGGGCGUAAAGGGCUCGUAGGCGGCCAACUAAGUCAGACGUGAAAUCCCCAGGCUCAACCUGGGAACUGCGUCUGAUACUGGAUGGCUUGAAUUCGGGAGAGGGAUGCAGAAUUCCAGGUGUAGCGGUGAAAUGCGUAGAUGUCUGGAGGAAUACCGGUGGCGAAGGCGGCAUCCUGGACCGACAUUGACGCUGAGGAGCGAAAGCCAGGGGAGCAAACGGG
rnacentral:rRNA from 1 species